rnacentral:rRNA from 1 species
AAUCAACGCUGGCGGCGUGCCUCAGACAUGCAAGUCGAACGCGAAAGUCCCCCUCGGGGGACAAGUAGAGUGGCGCACGGGUGAGUAACACGUAGGUAAUCUACCUUCGGGUGGGGAAUAACAAUCGGAAACGGUUGCUAAUACCGCAUAAUGCAGCGGCACCUAAUGGUGACAGUUGUUAAAGCGGGGGGAUCGCAAGAUCUCGCGCCUGAAGAGGAGCCUGCGGCGGAUUAGCUAGUUGGUAGGGUAAUGGCCUACCAAGGCGACGAUCCGUAGCCGGCCUGAGAGGGCGGUCGGCCACACUGACACUGACAUACGGGUCAGACUCCUACGGGAGGCAGCAGUCGGGAAUUUUGGGCAAUGGGCGAAAGCCUGACCCAGCAACGCCGCGUGAAGGAUGAAAUCCCUCGGGAUGUAAACUUCGCAAGAACGGGAAGAAUAAGUUUGUGCUAAUACCACAAGCGAUGACGGUACUG